GACGAACGCUGGCGGCGUGCUUAACACAUGCAAGUCGAGCGGUAAGGCCCCUUCGGGGGUACACGAGCGGCGAACGGGUGAGUAACACGUGAGCAAUCUGCCCAUCACAUCGGGAUAACUCCGGGAAACCGAAGCUAAUACCGAAUACGACCACCUCCGGCAUCGGAUGGUGGUGGAAAGUUCCGGCGGUGAUGGAUGAGCUCGCGGCCUAUCAGCUUGUUGGUGGGGUAACGGCCCACCAAGGCUUCGACGGGUAGCCGGCCUGAGAGGGUGACCGGCCACACUGGGACUGAGACACGGCCCAGACUCCUACGGGAGGCAGCAGUGGGGAAUAUUGGACAAUGGGCGAAAGCCUGAUCCAGCAACGCCGCGUGAGGGAUGACGGCCUUCGGGUUGUAAACCUCCUUCAGCAGGGACGAAGCGAAAGUGACGGUACCUGCAGAAGAAGCACCGGCCAACUACGUG
rnacentral:rRNA from 1 species